rnacentral:rRNA from 1 species
UAGUCAGAAUCCGUGCUAGAAACRAUGAUGUUGGUGUCGCACAUUAGACUUGUGUUUAAAUAGAGCUUUGCUCGUGAACCAAAUAUGGUGGGCUGGGUUGUCUUUGCGGAAACGCUUGGGCGACUUGUCUACGAAUUGUAAUCAUAAUAUGGGCGGCGGUGAAUCCUUUGCAGACGACUUGAAUGGGAACGGGGUACUGUAAGUGGUAGAGUAGCCUUGUUGCUACGAUCCACUGAGGUUAAGCCCUUGUUCUAAAGAUUUGUUCA